rnacentral:tRNA from 1 species
GAGGGUGUAGCUCACUGGUAGAGUGUGUGCCUAGCAUGCAUGAGGCCCUGAGUCCAACCCCCAGUACCACCA